rnacentral:sRNA from 1 species
CUUGAAGCUGGCUGUGGGGUUGGAAACUGUUUAUUCCCACUUUUAGAAGAAGAUCCGAAUAUCUUUGCCUAUGCCUGUGAUUUUUCUCCAAGAGCAGUUGAAUAUGUUAAGCAAAAUCCUUUAUAUGACACAGAAAGAUGCAAGGUAUUCCAGUGUGAUCUGACCAAAGAUGAUCUUCUGGAUCAUGUACCUCCAGAGUCUGUGGAUGUUGUUAUGUUGAUAUUUGUGCUGUCAGCUGUUCAUCCUGAUAAGAUGCACCUUGUCUUACAAAACAUUUACAAGUGCCAUGGCUGCUCUUCAGAGCUUCGCCAGCCCCGGGACAAGGAUGAUUUUGCAGUUACCUGGGAUCCAUGGAGUCCUGCUAUAAGGUAUUAAAACCAGGCAAAAGUGUCUUGUUUCGUGACUACGGGCUGUAUGAUCAUGCCAUGCUUAGGUUUAAAGCCGGCAGCAAACUUGGAGAAAACUUUUAUGUUAGACAAGAUGGGACCAGAUCAUAUUUUUUUACUGAUGAAUUCCUGGCUCAGCUCUUUAUGGACACAGGUUAUGAAGAAGUGGUAAACGAGUAUGUGUUUCGAGAGACGGUGAAUAAAAAAGAAGGCCUGUGUGUGCCAAGAGUUU